rnacentral:rRNA from 1 species
UCUGGCCUGUAUUCAACUGCAUUGUUGUGAGCAGUUGGGCGCUGCAUCUCCAGAUUGGGACAGUCCUGGCUUGCAAGCAACAAUGUUGUGCAUUUGCAGGUCGAGUGCGCCGAGACUUUCGAGAAGGCGAUAUGAGCUCAAUUUUGAGGCCAGCUUGCUGGUACCCGGAUUGGAGGAAUGUUGUUCGUUUUGGAUGUGAAUGGGGAAAGGUUUUCGGGCUCGUAUGGGUUCGAAUUGGUGUGGGGUGGCAGUUGCAUGCAACAUGUGCCUUCUGCCAAUUCGGUCCUGUGCGAGCUCACAAUCCCACUCUCGGCGUAAAAGUUGGUCAUCUAUCCGACCCGUCUUGAAACACGGACCAAGGAGUUUAUCGUGUGCGCAAGUCAUUGGGUGUUGAAAACUCAAAGGCGCAAUGAAAGUAAAGAAUCCGCAAGGAUACGACGUGUGAUCUGAGCAAUCACGAUUGCCUGGAGCAACAUGGCCCCAUUCUGGUCGCUUGCGACGGGGUGGAGGAAGAGCGUACGCGGUGAGACCCGAAAGAUGGUGAACUAUUCCUGAGCAGGAUGAAGCCAGAGGA